rnacentral:misc_RNA from 1 species
GCAACUUGUAAUUUACCAUUAAAAACAGGAAAACGCCCCCUGGGAACCUAGCUGAGCGAACAAGCAGUGAGGUUUUUUCUCGUUGUUGGAAGAACAUCGAUCAAAGCUCCUCUCAAAUAUCAUCUCUAUCCUCUUUUCACAGCAACUUAAAAUGGCUGGGAGAAAUCGUAUUCCUCGUGAGGCCUAUAAUGAACGUCGUGGCUUCCCCCCAGAGAGACCUUUAAUUCGCGGCCCUCCUUUGCCACAUCCACCUCCUCAUCGUACAUUGUUGGAGGAUGAACUUGAAAUACAACAUGCUGAAAUCCAUGGGCUCCUGGUUGAUAAUCGCCGGCUGAUUGAAGAUCGAAUGGCUCUANNNNNNNNNNNNGAGGAACUUCAUCGCAUGAAUCUUGUCAUAGCUGAAAUUCGUACAGAAUAUGAAGUGCACUCGAGGGAGCUUAUUGAAAAGGGCUUGAAGCUGGAGGCUGAUCUUCGUGCUACUGAACCUUUGAAGAAUGAGGCUGUACAACUCCGUGCAGAAGUUCAGAAACUGAAUAAUGU